GUCCCCAGAGGAAAAUGAGGGGCUGCUGCUAGACCAGGCGGGCCUGAGCAUGGACAGGCACAAACCAGACAGCUCUGCGGGUGCCUGCGGGCCCACACGGGGCGCCAGGGGGGCCAGGCAGGCAGGGACAAAGCUUCAGGCAGACUACCUUCCUGUGUAUCUGGUUUGUAGAUUCGGCCCGCUGUCAGAUUGUGUUUGGGGAGCAGCUGCUGCUGCUAAGUGAGUUUGGACAUUCUUGCUGUGGACAAAGGGAGGCAUAUCCAGAGACGAGCCUGAGGGUGUGUCCCCACUGCAAGGAGACUCAGGACAUGAGCACUCCUAGAAUGAGCAUUUAUGAGGCAUCUCCUGCGGGCCGGACCUGGGAUUACAGCAGGAACGAGACAAAGACCCCUCCCUGGGGCUCACGUUCAAAUUAGGCAGAUGGCAACACGGAAGUAAGUCCAUACUGUGCUGGGUCAUGUGGCAGUCACACAGGAAACGGCACAGGAAAAUGUCAUAGAGCAAUAGGGGUUAGGGGACACUUUGGAUGGCCAGGGAGGGUCUCUCUGGGGAAGUGACAUUUGAGCUGAGAUCCUGGAGAAGGAAGCCCAGGAAAGGAGCACCCUGGCAGAGGGAAUAGCACGUGUAAAGGCUCCAACACGGGACGGCGUUUUGUAUAUUUGAGAAACAGACGGCAUCAGCUUCGGAGCCCAGUCAGGAAGGGGGAGAGCAGACGAGGGCGAGGAAGGGGCUCCGUGCCGCAGGCUGUACGGGCCCCAUCAAGGACGUCUGAGCACUGGUCCCACACAGAGAGGAGGUACCAAGAGGUGGCGAGCUGGCUGUAUGAGGCCAGAGCGAGGCCUGGCUCAAGGGUGUAGCUGUGACCGCUAUCGGAAGAGGGUUUCAAUUCCAGCUCACUUCGAGAGAAGACUUUCCCAUCAGUCAGUGGCAUCCUACUGCGGAAUGGAUGGCCUGGAGGUGGUGAGCUCUCUGUCCCCAGAGGUAUGCAACCAAGAAACAGUGGCAGAACAGGCUAGAAAGCUGGGAGUGGAUGACUCUGUGAGAUCAGCAGAGAAAUACAGAACCAAACACGAUGAUAACGCUUAACAAAGUUUACGGUGGCAAAGGGCCACUUAGAACAUUUUAGCGGCAGCCUGCUGUGAUCAGAGCAAUCUCUGGAAAUGAUUUAUUUACAUAUAAAAAUGAGACAUUUCUCAACAACCUCGAGACAGCCCCUGGGGCGAGGCUCUCAUUGGACAGCGCCUCCCCCGGGUCCGGGCUGCUCAGCCCCCGGCCGCCUCCAGCCUCGGCAGGGGGCUGAUUGCCUCUCUGAGGGGAGGCGGGCGGCUGCGGCCCGCCCUGCCAGCAUUCCGGAGAGUUCCUUCUCCAAAAUAAACCUCGCCUAAGCAUUUAAAUGUGCGGCUGAGCAUGAAGUACAGUCAACAAUUUUAUUCCAAGAAUGCAAAUGAAUCCCUGAGGGGCCAGGAAGAGGCGGAAUGCCCUGGCCCAGAAGCUUUUUUUUUUUUUUUUUUUUUUUAGAGUGUGAGUAGGACACAGCAAAUUCCACCGCCUCGAGCCAGAAUUGGGGAAACUGAGGCUGGGGCAUCAGCUCAAGGUCGCAGAGCCGGGAAAAGGCAGAGUGGGCUGGAACGUGGCUGCCAGAUGCUUUCCACCCCGCAUAGAACCACCCCACCAGGGCGCUAUUCCUGUGCACAGAGCACGCUCCCCGAUGUAGGCCAGUAGCCCCGGAAGGACAGAUGUGUGAGAUGGAGAUCCAAAGACGCUUCGGAAGGCUGCUGAACACAAACACGCUCGCGUUGGCCCUCUGCUGGCAGCAGCCGGGUGCGCGGAGAUGAUCAGAUAAGCUGCUUCUCGGUCUUUUCCAACAUUCUGAGCCCGCAAUUCACCAGGCCAGCUUGCCUUCGGGAAUCUCCCUCCGCACACUCCAAGGCGUGUUCCAGCUGACCCCCCCUUUGCUGUGAUGGCUCAAACCCCAAGUCCUCCACUCACCAGCUCUAACACACCGGAUGAGACAUUUAACCUCUUCUUGUCCUAAUUUCCUCCUCUGUAAAAUGGGGAGCACGCUGGGACCUGCUUCAGAGCGGUUACGAGUUUGAAAUGAGUUCAGAUACGGAAAACACUUGGAACAGCGCCUGCAUGCUUCAGGAAAGGAAUUCACAUAAAGUAGACACCUAAGGAAAUGAGCAUUGGAGUGACACUCAAAGGACCCCGAGACAGGGAGACGUGGAAAACAGAUGGGCAUUUGGGGGUGAAAGAAGCCGAAAAAUCGUUGCUGGCAGUGCUGUUCCUGGAAGGGAGACGAAGGCGGGAAGACACAUUUGGGUUACAGGAAGAGGCGGCCCCUCAUGCAGCAUCUUUAGUCUAUAAGGGCCCAGGGCUCUGCACGGAGAGCACUAAUUGGAUUUCAUUAAAGCGAAAUAGAUUUCCUCGCACUGGAAGAGCCAGUUCAUUAAUUUCACACAUGCUCUACUGGAGGAAGGCAUGGGGAAGGGCAGCCAGCCCCAGUCUCCCCAGGCUAAGAUCAGAGCUGGGAGCCCGCUGCAGUUUGGUGCAGAGCCUGGAGUCUGAGCGCCUGCUCCAUGCCAGUGCCUGGGCUGGCCAUCGGGGGUGCAGUGAUGAACCAGAUACAACCACCACCUCCGGUAACUCGGUCUUGGAGGAGGCAGGCACACAAGGCAGGGCGUGCACAGUGACAGGGUGCUGGACCAGGGUGUGUUCCAGGUACUGGACAUCCCGUGGAGCAGACCGACCCGGUGCUGGAGCUGAGAAGAGUGGUCUGGGCCGGAAUUUUAAAUUGGGGACAUUUGAACAUAUAAAAAGGUGGUCAAUGCCCCGGUCCGGAUGACGUCACCAGGGGAGAGAGUAGGAGGGGCCGGGUCAUCUUAGUUCUUUCUUCCUCUCAGAGCAAGGAUUCCUUCCACGCCUUCCACUGACAGGUGGCUCCCCAGUCCCUGCUUGCAUGCCCCAAUGACAGGGAGCUCACUACCAGCCAAGCCAGUCCUGCCUGCUUUUGGAAGUCCUGGCUGUUAGUUAAAUUCUUUUGUAUGCGGGCCAAAGUCUCCCUUCCCUUUUGAUUUUACUCCUUUGUUCUGAUUCCAUCUUCUGGAGACCCGGCCCGUCCAGUCGGCUCCCUCUUUGCCAUGAUCUGCUAGAACCCACAGAUGUGGUUCGCCACACCUUCCUUCUUCUCCGAUAGUGGGGCCCUGGGUUUCUUCUGAGGGUACCGCACCGUCCCCACUGCCGUCUCCCCUCCCAGGAAGCGACAAAGUCUUGUUUUAACGUCUGAACCGUGGCCUUAGAGACCAGAAGAAGAGGGGACACUUAAAACUAAGAGACUUCCCUUCUGUGUCUUUCUUAAACACACCCGGUUCCUUCUGCCACUCUUAGCUGCCUCAGUGGCUACCCCAGAUAUUUUUGUCUCUGGGUUGGGGUCUUCACGCUGGAGUUAUUUUAAAAAAUUUGCUUAUUUUUGAGAAGGAGAGGAGAGAGAGAAUGAGUGAGGGAGGGACAAAGAGAGAGGGAGACGCAGAAUCCG